CUUGUCUGUGAUGAAAGUGUUGUCGCCCCAGUCUGAUAUUUCAUGACUGAUUGACUUUUUCUGAGACAAU